rnacentral:hammerhead_ribozyme from 1 species
AUCCAGAAGACGAGUCCCGAAUAGGACGAAACGCGCGUCAGUGGGAA